GCCCCGGUAAACGGCGGCCGUAACUAUAACGGUCCUAAGGUAGCGAAAUUCCUUGUCGGGUAAGUUCCGACCUGCACGAAUGGCGUAAUGAUGGCCAGGCUGUCUCCACCCGAGACUCAGUGAAAUUGAACUCGCUGUGAAGAUGCAGUGUACCCGCGGCAAGACGGAAAGACCCCGUGAACCUUUACUAUAGCUUGACACUGAACAUUGAGCCUUGAUGUGUAGGAUAGGUGGGAGGCUUUGAAGUGUGGACGCCAGUCUGCAUGGAGCCGACCUUGAAAUACCACCCUUUAAUGUUUGAUGUUCUAACGUGGACCCGUAAUCCGGGUUGCGGACAGUGUCUGGUGGGUAGUUUGACUGGGGCGGUCUCCUCCUAAAGAGUAACGGAGGAGCACGAAGGUUGGCUAAUCCUGGUCGGACAUCAGGAGGUUAGUGCAAUGGCAUAAGCCAGCUUGACUGCGAGCGUGACGGCGCGAGCAGGUGCGAAAGCAGGUCAUAGUGAUCCGGUGGUUCUGAAUGGAAGGGCCAUCGCUCAACGGAUAAAAGGUACUCCGGGGAUAACAGGCUGAUACCGCCCAAGAGUUCAUAUCGACGGCGGUGUUUGGCACCUCGAUGUCGGCUCAUCACAUCCUGGGGCUGAAGUAGGUCCCAAGGGUAUGGCUGUUCGCCAUUUAAAGUGGUACGCGAGCUGGGUUUAGAACGUCGUGAGACAGUUCGGUCCCUAUCUGCCGUGGGCGCUGGAGAACUGAGGGGGGCUGCUCCUAGUACGAGAGGACCGGAGUGGACGCAUCACUGGUGUUCGGGUUGUCAUGCCAAUGGCACUGCCCGGUAGCUAAAUGCGGAAGAGAUAAGUGCUGAAAGCAUCUAAGCACGAAACUUGCCCCGAGAUGAGUUCUCCCUGACUCCUUGAGAGUCCUGAAGGAACGUUGAAGACGACGACGUUGAUAGGCCGGGUGUGUAAGCGCAGCGAUGCGUUGAGCUAACCGGUACUAAUGAACCGUGAGGCUUAACCUU
rnacentral:rRNA from 1 species